AGCACCUUUAUACUGCCUCAUCAUAUGGAUAUCAUAGAGAUGUGGCAGCCUCUGGAAAGGGUUGACCGCAAUCAGAAUAUUCCCAGUACAUGACUUACAUAUAUUUCAUUGAGCGCAUACCGAGAAGCAAGGUUGGAUAGAACUCCCGGCUCAUGGAGGCGAUGUCAGGAUCCUCGACCCAAACAUGGGAUCCAACUAUGAUGUUUACUGGAGUUCCCUGAGUCAUCGAAGAAUUUCAAAAUUGGGAUUAGGCAGUUGAGUUAGGAAGAAAAGAAUGAACCUGGAUUGGAAUAAGAAUAUGAUCACCAAAAAUCUCACCAUGUUUUGUGAUUGAAGGAAGCUAUAUGAUCAUGGAGGCCAGAAUGGGAUGAUAUUGAUGAGUCUAAAUGAAAGAGAGAGGGAAACAGCUUUCUAGGAAGAAGGUGUGGUCUUAAAAAAUGAUGGUUUUGUAGAAUGUAGAGAUAGAAAAGUGGGAAAGAAUGUCGA